UACGAAGGGGGGCUAGCGUUGCUCGGAAUCACUGGGCGUAAAGGGUGCGUAGGCGGGUCUUUAAGUCAGGGGUGAAAUCCUGGAGCUCAACUCCAGAACUGCCUUGAUACUGAGGAUCUUGAGUUCGGGAGAGGUGAGUGGAACCGCGAGUGUAGAGGUGAAAUUCGUAGAUAUUCGCAGGAACACCAGUGGCGAAGGCGGCUUACUGGUCCAUUACUGACGCUGAGGUGCGAAAGCGUGGGGAGCAAACAGG
rnacentral:rRNA from 1 species